rnacentral:rRNA from 3 species
AGGUUUCCGUAGGUGAACCUGCGGAAGGAUCAUUAAC